rnacentral:rRNA from 1 species
AACGAACGCUGGCGGCAUGCCUAACACAUGCAAGUCGAACGAGACCUUCGGGUCUAGUGGCGCACGGGUGCGUAACGCGUGGGAACCUGCCCUUAGGUUCGGAAUAACUCCCCGAAAGGGGUGCUAAUACCGGACAAUAUCUUCGGACCAAAGAUUUAUCGCCUUUGGAUGGGCCCGCGUUGGAUUAGCUAGUUGGUAGGGUAAAAGCCUACCAAGGCGACGAUCCAUAGCUGGUCUGAGAGGAUGAUCCGCCACACUGGGACUGGGACACGGCCCAGACUCCUACGGGAGGCAGCAGUGGGGAAUAUUGGACACUGGGCGAAAGCCUGAUCCAGCAAUGCCGCGUGAGUGAUGAAGGCCUUAGGGUUGUAAAGCUCUUUUACCCGGGAUGAUAAUGACAGUACCGGGAGAAUAAGCUCCGGCUAACUCCGUG